ACCUUAUGAUUUGGGAAUUGUAACAAUUUAUCAUUGAAUCCUUGCAAAACUUUUUACAAGGGUUCACCAAUAAGUUGGCAAAAAUUUGUAAUCUCAUCCCUAGUU
rfam:Capsicum annuum cultivar Zunla-1 chromosome 8, whole genome shotgun sequence